rnacentral:lncRNA from 1 species
GCAGACGAGUCCAGCCUUGUCCCUGGCAGGAAACAAUGUGUCUCUGAGAGACUAAGAAACCCUCAGCAGAAUCUACAGACUAUAGCUGAGGAAUUGCAGGGCAAGGCUUGGCCUCCCCAGACAAAGAGGCAGGCCUGGAUUUACACCAACAGAUCUAGUUUGAAGCAUUGUCUCUUAACAGAGCCACUUUGGUCCUUUGCCCACAGCGGGACCACUACAAGUCUCCUUCAGGAAAGCGUUCAUCCUGCAGACCAGCCCUACCCAGCAGAAAGCCUUGGGAUACAGCAACGUUGCUCUGCCAACUGCCUUGUCUAGUGUGGCAGCCUCAAUUCCAUGGGGCCAUAGAGCAUGAAAAGGUGGCUGGUUUGAAGAAAUGAAUUAUUCAUUUUAACAAAUAUAAAUGUAAAUUCAAAUAGCCACGUGAGGUAGGAAGUGUUAUGGGAGACAGCUCCGAUCUUGAUGGACCUGUCCUGGCAUCACCUACAACUGUAAGAUCGUUGCUUCAUUUUUGACUAUAGAAAACUCAGAAGAAUAGAAAAUCACAGUGGAAACAGAUGUGCAAGUAACUCUGGGUGAGCAGACCUAUGUGGUUUGAAUGGCAUCUUAGUGUUGGCUUCUAGGCUCUGUCUGGCGCUAUCAUGUCUGGUGCUUACAUAAGCAGGUUGCAUUGUGAAACCUUGCAGUGUUUUGCAAGCUGUGGAGCCAGGUGUCUUUGCUCCGACCCAGAAUCCUCAUUUCAGUCAGUCUGUUAUCCAUAGGAGUUUAUGUCAGAGACAGAACUGAAACACACGGUGACGAUGAUGCCGUGUUUCAACUCUUCUUUCAGCCCUCUGGUACCAAGAAGAGGAGAGUGAACCUCAGGCACUAAUGUGCCUUGGAUACUAUUUAGCUGUUGCUUUCCCCGUAAGAGAUGAAUCGGCGCCCUGGGCUGGGAAUCUGACUCUAGCAAUUCCGCGUGUAAUUUGAAGUUACCUUUAAUUUAUGACAAGUUGUUCUUUCUUCUUUCUUUCAUUUUUUUCCCCAUUUACAGUUAAAUAACUUCCUUUAUAAAAGCCAGCUGGUCUAAGUGGAAACAUUUGAGAAACCACAAUAAAUUGAUAGGAUUUUCUUAUUCUGGAUUAAGUGAAACCAGCAUCAGAAAAGAAAAAAAUAAACAAUGCAAAGAGUGUAUACAAAUCAUUACGCAUAAAUGGUGAAGUUGAGCAGCCCUUGGUUAAUACCUUUUGUUUUUGUUUUUGUUUUUGUUUUUGUUUGUUUGUUUGUUUUUUCAAGGCAGGAUUUCUCUGUAUAGCCCAGGCUGUCCUGGAACUCACUUUGUAGACCAGGCUGGCCUCGAACACAGAAAUCCGCCUGCCUCUGCCUCCUGAGUGUGGGGAUUAAAGGCAAAGUCUCUUGAUGAGUCUGGAGCUUACAGGUCUAGCCAGCUUACUCCAGCAAUCCCCUGCCUCUGACUCCCUUCUGGGAUUACAGCUGAACUAACACUCCCAACCAGCUUGUGUGUGGGUUCUAGGGAACCUAAGUUCUGCUUCUCACCCUGGCACAGCAAGCACUACCCACUAAGCUGCCCCCAGAGCCCUGCAGGUCAUCUUUUGGAAACUAAAGUGGCUCCACCUCUCUAGCACACUCACCCCUCUUGGUGUCAGCACAGUGGCUGGUGGGACAGAAUGAAAAGCUAGGAAAUCCACAGGCUGACACCUGAGCAGCCAUAACAAUGGCUAACCUGUCAGUGCUUUCAAGGCAGUUACCAGGUGUUCUGUUCCUGGCCACAAGCUCCCUAUCCUGAAACCUGGGGGAAGAAACAGUCUGACAGAGGGAAAGAGAAGCUGCCAAGUGCACAGAGACAAAGAAGCCAGAAGGAAAGUAAUCAUGUUACCUUAAUAAAUUACUCUGAUACCUCAGUCUAGUACUUAAACAAAAGUUCCCCAUUGCUGCGUACCUGUAAUCCCAGCAGCCAUGGAGAUAUGAGGAUCUGGGAGUUGGAGUCAGCCAGACCAUGAACACCAGGCUGGCCAGGGCUGUGUUUUGAUUCAAUAAACAAAGCAAGCCACCAACAGGAAGUACGUUUUUCUUAAUCAGUAUGUAAUUAUUUUUCUUGCACUUUGCUUUAUAUAGCCCACUGAUUUUUUUUUUUUUUAAUUUAAGACAGGGUCUCUUUAUGUAGCCCUGCAUGGCCUGGAACUCAAUAUUAUAGACCAGGCUGAUCCUCCUGCUUCUGCCUUGCAAGUACAAGCUUGCCCCAUUAGGCCUGGCCUUCCAGUCCAUUUUUGCCCCCAUUGGUUUUUUUGGACAUCACCAAAUUUUAUUAGAGAUAUUCUUAUAAGUUAAAAAUACUGUUCUAAUCAUGUACUUCUUUUGAUCACAGGCCUUUUUUUUUUUAAGUACUAGAUUGAGGUAUGAGUGUAAUUUAUUGAGGUAACAUUAGAAAUUUGGAUGAAGAAUGAUUAAAC